GCAAGGAUGAUACUUUUGAUUUGAUUCUCAAUGAAAUAUCAGAUUUGUCCUCUAAGAAGUACUGAGCAG